UUUUUUUUUUAAAUGUAAAAAAAAAAAAUUGCGGGUUGGCGGGUACCCGCAUUUCAAAAUCCACCAGCCUGCACCCGCCCCGCAUAAAAUGCUCAUAUCCCGCACCCGCACCCACAAAUCAAUUUUUCUAAAUUGUUCGACCCGCACCCGCCCCGCGGCGGAUCAAAUGGGCCGGGCCCCGCGGUAAAAACUCAUAUUCCCAGGCCUAAUCACCACUAUUCCUCGGACUAAGUCCGCUCUCCUUUCUCCCACACCCUCUCUCCUAGCUUUCAGAUCUGUCUUGAUUCAGAUUUGAUACCAAAGUUUCGAUAUUUACGAGGAGGAGGGUCUGGAGUUGCAUUGGCCGAGAGAUAGACCAGAUGGAGGGAAAGAAGAGAAAAAGAGUGUGAAUUGGAGUCUUUCGCGCAGAACAGUCGACCAGAGCAGCCUGAGUGCAUGCUCCAGCGGCAGAGAUAAAAAAGGAAGUUUCCAAAUAUUUCGGGAUUUGCCUUAGAUUUCCUGUUUUUCCAUAUAGCCGCAUGUGGCUCCUAUAUAUAUAGUCUUUUAUUUAUUA